GUGACUAUGGCUUAACAGACGGCAAGUAAAGAGAGCACUCCAAGCAGACAGGAACAGUGAACAGUGUGAAAUGCUCAGAGGUUAAGUCAAGUAAGAAAUGAGAAUGGUUCACUAGAUUUAGCAUCAGUGGGGUAGGAAUUAUAACUCAGGAUGAAAGCAGUUUCUGAAGACAGGUGUGAGAAGAGGCAGACUGUGGUUAGUCAAAGGGGAAGAGAAGUGAGGACGUCAUAGAGAAUGUAAAAAGUUAUUUCAAGAACUUGGUCUGUGAGGGAAAAGAGAGGAACUGAAGAAAAGUAUGGGGUACAGGAUGGAAGGCAAGGGUUGGAGGAGAUUUCUUUUCUCUCUCUUUUUUUGUCUUUGACAUGAAAGAUACUGGAGGACAUUGAAAUGGGAGGAACCUAGUGAAAAUGCUGGCAUAUAGAAAAGAGAUGUCAUUGUUGGAGGGAAGUUCCUGAGGGGACCCAGAGUGAUGAGAGCAGAGGCACAGGGUAGAAGCUAACCCUAGGGGAAGCAUAUUCCUCUAUUCCUAGCACAGGAAUAGAAAAGGGGUGGCAGGAAAUUGUAUGUAUUCUCUUCUGGGUCAUCUAUUUUCUUAUGAAUCAGCAGUCAAGAUCACCUGAAGCACUGUUUCCAAGCUCUGUUUCCCAGCAUCCAUGAACUAAGCAACUUUACUCUGCUAUGACUUCCCACCGUAAUGUUUCUGCCUUGGAACCAGCAGACCAUGGACCGAGUACUCUGAAACCAUGAGCUAAAUAAACCUCUUCUUUACAUUGUAAGUAUCAGACAUUUGGUCCCAGUAACAGGAAAGGUGACACAGAGGUUCAACUAGUUUCAUACCUUGCUCCAGGCUGUUAGUGAACAAAAGGUAGAAGUGAAACUAAGUGUACCCUUCCUCACUCCAGUUCAGUACUCUACAGCCCUCCAUUCAUAGGACUGUCAAUCCCUCAGUUACUUCAACCCCUCUGAGAGAUGCCAGUGCAGCAGUUUUAACAUUGCUGAACAAUGAAUUCAUAUAUUUUUGAACAAUAAGCUGAUAUAUUUUUUAUUCUAAAAGUAUAGCUUCUCCUGACUGAUGUAUCAGAUAAGGCAAGUUGGGGCGAAUACCACCUAUCUUGGAAAUGGUUUGGGGGCACUUUGUCACAGUGGCUGAAGUACUACUGGCAUUUAGUAGGUGAAAGUCAGGGACAUUAAAUAUCUAACAAUGCCUUGAACAGUCCUACCCAACAAAGAAUUCUCCUACCCAAGUGCCAGUGCAGUUCCUAUUAAGGAACACUAGUAGAACAAUGCAAUAGACCGUCUCCAAGGCAACUCCCCAAGUUCCCAUAUCCAGGAAUUUGCAGUCUUGUGGAGUUCUCCUACAUUGUACUAAGGAUGAUCUGGUGGACCUGUAGUAAUAAUGAAUAUGACAGAAGUAAUAAUGAAUCACAUCUAAGAUUAAUUUAUAAAAGAUUGUACCUUCUGUCUUGGUCCCUGUCUCUCUUUCGCCCAUCAUUCCACGUGGGGGAAACUGUGUUAUGAGCAUCCCUGUAAAAAGCUGCUGAAGAGCUGAAGCAUCCUGCCAAGAACCACGUGUGUGAGCUUCAAAAUGAAUCCUCCAGUCUCAUUCAUGUCUUCAGAAACUAUAGUCCUGGUCAGCAGUUUGACAGCAAACUCAGGAGAGAGUCUUAGCCAACUACGUUCAAACUAUGGGAGAUUAGAAAUGUUUUAAGUUGCUAAUUUGGGGGCAUUUCCUUAUAUAGCAAUAGAUGAUUAGUGUAAACCAUAAAGCUAUGGUUUAGCUUAAUCUGUCUGUCUUUAUCUAUCUGUCUCUAUCUUAGGUCACAGCAACACUAGUCCUGAUAGCCAGGCUUUGUAGACUCAGCCCAUAGGGAUCUAAUAUGCGUCAUGGGAACAAUAACAGGAUAUGACACAACAGAAGCUUGUGACUACCUAAGAUGAAAGGGGAAGCAGAAGCUCUUUGAGAGGAAGACAAAAAGAUAAGGGAAAGAGAAGAAAAGGAAACAUUCAACUAUUUGGGUCCUAGCUUCUGCCUAUGGGGCCACUGUACAUUGUUGUGCAAUUUGUUCAUUGUGUAUGUGUGUACUUGGCCAAAGAGUCAAGAGGAGAUGGAUAUCCAGGCAAUCCCCCACCCACCAAGAUUUGCAACCUAGCCCAGGUUACAUCUUCCUGAGAGGUGUCACUUUCUAAUUUUCAUAAGAGAUUUGUAUUAGUUUCCUAAAGCUUCUAUAAAAAACUCACAAAUUAGGUGAGUUAAAACAACAAAACUUUAUUCUUCUACAACUCUGGAAGCUAGAGACCUAUAAUCUAUUAUAAUUCCAAAUAACAUCAUCUCACCUUACCUUAAAGGCAAGAAAAUAGUCUUUCUCAAACAAGUCAGCAGAUUUUCAACAGAUUUCAAGAUUUUCACAUUGCUUUUCAUGCUAACUCUUUAGAGAUGGAAAGAGGUGCUAUAGUGCACCAAAGAGCAAUGAAAGAAGAAUAAAUUUAUGAAUGUAUAAAAAUUUACAAAGACCACCAUAGAGAGGGAAAGGCCAUUUCCCUACUAUCAUAAUCUAUUCACAGCAAGGUGUGAUAGAAAAUAUAGGACUUGGAAUCACAAUAUAAGAUUAUGAAACCCAUUUCUGUCCUUUAGUACCUUUGUGAUCUUGUAGGAGUUAUUGAACUUCUCUGAAUCUUAGCUUUCUCAUCCAUAAGAUGGAAAUUACAAUAUUAAAACUAUGUGUAUCACAGAGUUUCUGUAAGAGUUCUGUGAAAGACACACUAUUUGUGGGUAAUGCCCAAAACCACUACUGAUACUGCACAGGCAGUAAUAUAGUGCUGAGCAGCUCACACAUAAAACAAGAAACAAGUCUUUCACGGUAAAACAAAAGCUUCAGAGAAUGUAGUAGCUAGAACCAGCAUCCAAAUGGCACACAAAUUAGCAACCAGCAGCUGCUCCUGUGUUUUCAGUAACAGCCGUGCAGCAAACUCUGACACCUUAGAGACAGAUGACAGGAGAGAAUACAGACCAGACCCCACCAGCUGAGGCUUAUCAACGGUACCUUAAUGAGAAGAUACUGAAGAGUGAUAACAAAAGUUCCUUAAUGAGAAGGAACUGAAGAGUGAUAACAGAAGUUUGGUUACAAAACCCUAUUACUUUCAGACCUAUUAUUUUCAAUGCAAUCCAUGGACCAGGCAGCAGCAUCACCUGGAGAGAAGCUUCUUGGAAAUACAGUAUGGCAAGCUCUGCCCCAGACAUGCAGAUUCAGACCCUGCCUUCUAACAAUGGCCACAGGUGAAUCACAUGCACAUUUCCCUUACAGAAGCUCAGUUUGGGGGUUGACUACACAGAGGCAUGUAAGAUGAAGUAUAUGUCACUCUCAACAUGUGCUGCUCAGGGUUCUUAGAUCUCUGAUUAAAAAACUCUUAGAUAUUAUUAUGUGUAUAAAUGUCAUCCAGGCAGACUCUACCUGGUCAGUACUAUUACAAUUCUGAUACCCAGAUCAGCAGAAACAGAUCAGCAGCACCCUUUGGAGAUUGGCAUGGUAAUGAAAACCUUUCUGGGUCAGAGGACGCUGCAUUCUAGAAGAGCACCUAUUAACUUCCCUGGUAAGAAUUCAGCAUUUGUAUAUUGAAUAUUCAUCCAACAAUCAUUUAUUGUACACUUACCAUGUAUGUAUGGGGCUUUAUUCUUAAAGAAUUAUGUAGCCAAACCUGGAAUAAAUAACCUUUCUUCAAAACUUCAACUCUGCAUAAAAAUCAGGAUCUACAUGUAUCUGAAAUGCUUUUAAAUUAAGGAAAUUUAAAGAAUUUUAUUCCCCUAAUUUAAAUUAUAUUAGCAGAAAAAUAAUAUCUUCAUAGGAAAAAUAUUAGAUAUAAUAAAAUAUGUAUUUGAGUAUGCUUUCUGGUUAGUUCAUGUGAGCAGCCUGGAAUGAGAAAAGGAAGAAAAGGGCACAAAAUACAGAAUACCAAAACAUGGAUCCUGGUAAGCUCAAAGAACGCCGAUGGAUGAUAAGGCUCUGAAAGAUGGACAGAGGUAAUGUAUGAAGCAAUGGUAUGUGAGGUUAUUGGGCAAGUCAGAGUUGCUUCUGCCACAUCCAACAAGUGAACACCACAAGUGACCAGCCCACAUCAGUUCCUUUGAGUUCAUGGUAAGAGAUCAUUUUCCUUUGUAAAAUUCUGUAACACAUAACCAUCUAUGGCUCUUCCAUUCUAUCAAAUACCACUGGCUCUAAAACAGAGGGGGCUGGAGCAGCCCUUCUGUACUUAGAGGUACUUGAGAACUGUAUCAUUUCUAAUUAUAAGAAGAGGACUCAUUAAUUAUAGACAAGGACAGUUUGUGGAGUUCUAAUAUUUACUGUGCUCCAAGAAAUCUGUUCUAAGGACUUUGCCAUCUAAUCAUCAGUCCUCUCAGCAAUGAUAUAAUCAAAAGGAAUGUGCACACUAAACCCCUGGACUAGUAGUCAUCUAUGCUCUUCAAAAAGAUAUCCAAUAAUACAGGUGAUAUCUCCACCAAUAAAUAUAAAAUUAACAAUUUAGGCAUUCAUUGAGAAUCUAAAAUUUAUUUUAAUAGACUUCUUAUUUACUUUUCUCAUUGCUGAGACAAAAUACUCAACAUCCACAAAUUGCAAGAGGAAAAGUUUAUUUCAGCUCAGUUUGUAGAGGUUUCAGUCCAUAGUUGGCUGGCUCCAAGGCACGGAAGCAUGACAGAGAGGCUUUGCAGAGGAGAAACAGUCCAUGGUAUGGUAGACACAAAGCAGUAAGCAACAUCAGAAGAAGCAGCAGGAGCAGCAGCACCAGCAAGCCCCUCUUUCCCUUUUAUCUCACCCAGGCUACAAGCCUUUUGGGUGGUGCCAGCAAACCCAGGGUGGGCCUUACCAUUAUCCGCACUCAAACCUAUGCUAACUCCAAUCAGUGGACUAAUUUAGUAGCACAUACCCUUAAUCCCAGUACAAGACACCCUAGAUCCAGCUAGUUCCAAAUAGCCCCAUCUAUGAGUGUGUGAGGGUUUGGAAGGACAUCUAGAUACAAUAAUAACAGAGGAUCAUAUCAAACUGUGUGGAGAACAGUAGGUUUUAUUUAUAAACAUGAAAAAUCUUACUUUUCUUUUUUUUUAAUUUUUAAGGUAGAAAUUCUGAUGAGCUUGGAUAUUCUCAAGUCUUACUUUGCUUGGAGGAUGAAGUGACACACAGAACAUUGGAAUGCUGCCUCAUUCACAUACGGCUUACCUUGCAUGCAUUCUAACAGCAAUGUGCAAGAAGCAGAGACUGGCAAAUUCACAAAUAUAUAGGGAUUUGAGAUUUCCCAUGCAAGUUAUUCCAGAAAUGCCAAGUAUUUUGUUUAUGACAAAACAAGAACUAAAAUGUUGACUGCCAUUUUCACCACCAGAGAGAAAACAGAGUGACAGGCUUUCAUGUUUUUGAUAAAAUAGGCAAAAGGGGAAUAGUCAUUAAUCUUGCUGAAGCUCUGUAAUAUAAAAUUAUUUAGGUGGCUGUGAAAGGAAAUUAAAUAUGCUAUAGAGAAAAAAAACAUAGCUUUUAGGGAGAUCUGCUGCUUUUUAAAAGACGAGUCUGUGAUUCUACAAUAAUGACAUAAAAGCCGAAAUGCUAUUUCCUAGUCUAUUACAUUUUAGCUGUCACUGAAACUAAAGUAAUGGAAAAGUUAUAUUUCUGUGUGUAAAGUAACUACAAAUUAUCCAUUCAUCACAAAACAUUUUAUCCUUUAUCUAUUUAGAUAUAAUUGUAGUCUUGCUCUUUUAAAUUUUAGAGAACAGGAUGUUGGUUAAUAAAAAUUCCAG
ensembl:lncRNA